UCGACACAGCACGAAACGGGUCAGUCGUGCGACAGAGAGUGGAUCCAGCGCCCGUGGAGAGGAGGAGAUCCUGCGAGGGGAUCCAAUCGACGAGCGCAUGAUGCGGGCGAUUGGUCUUCUGACCAAGAUCCUUUCCGCUGAAUCCAGCCGAUGCGCCCAAGGAAAUCCAGCAGAUGUGUGGUGCGGGUGGGGAUCCAGCGGACGCGUGCGAUGAGGGUGACUAAAGGGCCGCUCCAUCGAGCCGAGGCAGGCAAUCUACCUGCAAGGUGGAGUACGAGGGAGGGGACGCGGGCGAUGGCCGACGCCUCAUCUGAUGGAAACUGCUCCAUUGAGACUUGAAAGACGCAAUUAUACUUCGGCCGUUAUACUUCAUUUUCUGAGCGCCCAUUCAUGGCGAGUGAUGUGCUGAUCCUUUCCGGCGCCGAGUGGUGCAACAUAUCUUUUCGCGAGCACCUUCUCGUUGCAGCAUGGUGGCCACGCCUGACGGCUUUACUGUUCAUGGUAGAGCAGUGAUCAGCGGCAAGAGAGAUGGGGGAAAUAAUAGGGUGAGACUGAGUUUUUUUUCUAGCUAUUCCUUUUCUGCUUCUCAACUGCGUCCAUCUUUUCCUGAGACCUCUAACCAGAUCUCACAACCCCAUCUCUUCUGUCUCUCUCGUUUGGGUAGCAAGUUGCCCUGUUAUUGGCCUUUAUUAAGUUUCUCCUGGAUUUUUUCUUCUGUUUCUCUACAUGUUACGCCAACGAAGGUUUACAAGUAGGUACAAAUCUUCAGAGACUAUAAACACCAGGUCUGGAGGGUUGAAACAGAUUCCAAGCACAUCUUCUUGGGAUGCAAAGAACGAAUUUAAGCUGGUAUUUCUUAAUUAAUUGAACACCAGGUCAGGAGAGUUGAAACAGAUUCCAAGCACUGAGUCAUGGUGGAGCUGAUGUGUUCUUUCUAUACGUAUUCCCUGGGAGAUGAUCACUUAAUCUGUAAAAUUUCAUAGUUCCCGCUGGGAGAGUUCAUGCAGAUUUGCUUCCUCAUGUAUAAUUAUAAGUUGUCUAUUCACAAACGUUCAGUUCAGCUGCUGCAGAUGAUGCUUGGUUAUUGAGGUACUGCCAGUACAUAUGUUAACUCUAAACUGGACCAUUGAUUCAGCAACACUACUUUUUGUUUGACUGUAUCUUCAGCAAGGGUACUCUUAUUUCAUGAUUCUAUACUGAACCACUGGUUUUUGCUCGAGCUGUACUAUAGACUCUUAAUUGUGAUUUUUUUGAAGCAAAUUUCAUAUCUGCCACUUACGAGAAAUUUAGAUAAUCGUAGGCUUUUCAGAAGCUUUUGACCUUAGAACGAAGGCUCUUAAGAAGCUGCACUACAUGAAUAUGUGGAUAUCACAUGUAUGUUUUUCUUUCUUUAAAUUUCUGAUGCUUAUGAAUCAUCCGAUGUAAGUAGUUAGCAAGUAUGGAAGAUAAUGUAUGUUUUGAUCUGUCGAGAGAUGCUUUUUCGCUCCUAUUUCAUUUUGGCUUCGCCUCCAAAAUAUUUCAUUGGUUCUUGCACAUCUUGGCUACUUGAUUUCUGUAACUUUUGCAGUUUCAUUUCAUAUUUUCAUGUAAAAUGUGUGCUACAUUAAGUUUAUCUCAUAUCUAUGAGAAUACUGUGUAAUUAUAUGUAAUGAUACAACAUAUCUUUAUGUAAUUGAAUUUCUUUGUUUCAUUUA